CUCUUAUCAAGAGAGGUGGAGGGAAAAGGGCCCUAUGAAACCCGGCAACCUGUGGAAGACACAAAGGUGCCAAUUCCUGUAGUUUAUACUACGAGAUAAGAG
rnacentral:ncRNA from 1 species